GUCGUAACAAGGUUUCCGUAGGUGAACCUGCGGAAGGAUCAUUACCACACCUAAAAACUUUCCACGUGAACCGUAUCAAACCAAUUCAUUGGGGGUUUGUUUGGCGGCGGCUGCUGGCAUCUUUUUGCUGGCUGCUGCUGCUGAGCGAGCCCUAUCAUGGCAAGCGCUCGGACCUCGGUCGGAGCUAGUAGCAUUCAUUUUAAACCCAUUCCUAAUGACUGAAUAUACUGUGGGGACGAAAGUCUCUGCUUUUAACUAGAUAGCAACUUUCAGCAGUGGAUGUCUAGGCUC
rnacentral:misc_RNA from 1 species